GACGAACGCUGGCGGCGUGCCUAAUACAUGCAAGUCGAGCGGACUUUUUAAAAGCUUGCUUUUAAAAAGUUAGCGGCGGACGGGUGAGUAACACGUGGGCAACCUGCCCUGUAGACUGGGAUAACCUCGGGAAACCGAAGCUAAUACCGGAUAAUCAAUUGAAGCACCUACUUCUAUUGUAAAAGUUGGGAUACUAACACUACAGGAUGGGCCCGCGGCGCAUUAGCUAGUUGGUAAGGUAAUGGCUUACCAAGGCGACGAUGCGUAGCCGACCUGAGAGGGUGACCGGCCACACUGGGACUGAGACACGGCCCAGACUCCUACGGGAGGCAGCAGUAGGGAAUCUUCCGCAAUGGACGAAAGUCUGACGGAGCAACGCCGCGUGAACGAUGAAGGCCUUCGGGUCGUAAAGUUCUGUUGUUAGGGAAGAACAAGUACCGUUCGAAUAGGGCGGUACCUUGACGGUACCUAACCAGAAAGCCACGGCUAACUACGUG
rnacentral:rRNA from 1 species